CCUACGGGGGGCAGCAGUGAGGAAUAUUGGUCAAUGGGCGGAAGCCUGAACCAGCCAAGUAGCGUGCGGGAUGAAGGCCCUACGGGUCGUAAACCGCUUUUGCACGGGGAUAACACCCUCCACUUGUGGAGGUCUGCAGGUACCGUGCGAAUAAGGGCAGGCUAAUUCCGUGCCAGCAGCCGCGGUAAUACGGAAGGCCCGGGCGUUAUCCGGAUUCGUUGGGCUUAAAGGGAGCGUAGGCGGGCGGUCAAGUGAGCGGUAAAAUCGGGGGGCUAAACCGCGCCACGCAGUUGAAACUGGACGCCGUGAGUUCAAAACGGGCAGGCGGAAUUCGUGGUGUAGCGGUGAAAUGCAUAGAUAUCACGAGGAACCCCGAUGGCGAAGGCAGCCUUCCGGGGUGCGACUGACGCUGAGGCUCGAAAGUGCGGGUAUCAAACAGGAUUAGAUACCCUUGUAGUC
rnacentral:rRNA from 1 species